rnacentral:rRNA from 1 species
GAAGGAUCAUUAGCGGCUGAAAAACUAUUUUAAGUUUUUUAUAUCCCAUUGUUUACUUACCCUGUUGCUUUCACUGGACAGAUUUCACCUUGUGUGGGUCCUUUGGCUUGUGUGAAAUCCCACUUGCCAAAGAGUUGCUAGUGGUAAGACCUAUUUAUCAAAACUUGAGUUUCAAUAAACACAACUGUCUGAAUAUUUUUUUUCUUUAAUGAAAUAAAACUUUCAACAACGGAUCUCUAGGCUCUUGCAUCGAUGAAGAACGCAGUGAAAUGCGAUAAGUAAUGUGAAUUGCAGAAUCUCGUGAAUCAUUGAAUCUUUGAACGCACAUUGCGCCCUAUGGUAUUCCAUUGGGCAUGCCUGUCUGAGCGUCAGCUCCCCCUCCACUCAAGAAUCAUUUUAUAUGAUACUUGGAUUACUUUGGAGAUGUAACUGUAUAUUAAGUUGCCCUCCAGAAAUUUAUUGGCAGUAUGUUUUUGUACUUGGACCAGACGUAAUAGUAAUAAGGUCGUUUGCCCUUUGUGUAUAAUUGAUUGUACUUGCCUUAACCCCCACCCAUUUUUAUUUUGGGUGACUUCAGUUCAUGCCGUUUGGAUACCCGCUGAACUUAAGCAUAUCA